rnacentral:rRNA from 1 species
GAAGUGGGUAGUCCGCACGAGCGCACCUUACUUUUAGUUGCCAUCAUUUAGUUGGGCACUCUGAAAGAACUGCCAGUGAUAAGCUGGAGGAAGGUGGGGAUGACGUCAAGUCCUCAUGGCCCUUACGUGUUGGGCUACACACGUGCUACAAUGGUAUCUACAACAGGAAGCAAAACAGCGAUGUUAAGCAAAUCCCGAAAAGAUACCUCAGUUCGGAUUGCACUCUGCAACUCGAGUGCAUGAAGCUGGAAUUACUAGUAAUCGUGGAUCAGCGUGCCACGGUGAAUACGUUCCCGGGUCUUGUACACACCGCCCGUCACACCAUGGGAGUUGGUUCUACCUUAAGGCAAAGCUUAAAACCUUUGACCACGGUAUAGUCGGCGACUGGGGUGAAGUCGUAACAAGGUAGCCGUAGGGGAGCCUGCGGUUGGAUCACCUCCUUUCU